rnacentral:rRNA from 1 species
GAUGAACGCUGGCGGCGUGCCUAAUACAUGCAAGUCGAGCGGUAAGGCCCCUUCGGGGGUACACGAGCGGCGGACGGCUGAGUAACACGUAGGAACGUACCCCAAACUGAGGGAUAAGCACCAGAAAUGGUGUCUAAUACCGCAUGUGGCCCACGGGCUAAAGCUUCGGCGGUUUGGGAACGGCCUGCGUCCGAUUAGCUUGUUGGUGAGGUAAUGGCUCACCAAGGCGACGAUCGGUAGCUGGUCUGAGAGGAUGAUCAGCCAGACUGGGACUGAGAACGGCCCAGACUCCUACGGGAGGCAGCAGUAGGGAAUUUUCCACAAUGGGCGAAAGCCUGAUGGAGCAACGCCGCGUGCAGGAUGAAUGCCUUCGGGUUGUAAACUGCUUUUAUCUGUGACGAAUAUGACGGUAGCAGAUGAAUAAGGAUCGGCUAACUCCGUGCCAGCCGCCGCAGUAA